AACGAACGCUUGCGGCAUGCCUAACACAUGCAAGUCGAACGAGACCUUCGGGUCUAGUGGCGCACGGGUGCGUAACGCGUGGGAAUCUGCCCUUGGGUUCGGAAUAACUCAGAGAAAUUUGAGCUAAUACCGGAUGAUGACGUAAGUCCAAAGAUGUAUCGCCCAAGGAUGAGCCCGCGUAAGAUUAGGUAGUUGGUGGGGUAAAAGCCUACCAAGCCGACGAUCUUUAGCUGGUCUGAGAGGAUGAUCAGCCACACUGGGACUGAGACACGGCCCAGUGUACUACGGGAGGCAGCAGUGGGGAAUGUUGGACAGUGGGCGAAAGCCUGAUCCAGCAAUGCCGCGUGAGUGAUGAAGGCCCUAGGGUUGUAAAGCUCUUUUACCCGGGAUGAUAAUGACAGUACCGGGAGAAUAAGCCCCGGCUAACUCCGUGCCAGCCGCCGCAGUAA
rnacentral:rRNA from 1 species